ACACUCGCAUAUAUCGUGCCACUGUCAGUGGUCGGCAAGCUGAGGAACAGCAACCAGAGGAGUAUUCAAGUCUCAGAGAACACAAGGGUUCAACAGGUCCACACAGGUGGAAUUCAAGUACUUUAGUGUCCGGAAUGUCUUCAGGAACAGUGAUUUCGCCAGACGCAGCCAAGAUCCUUAUCAGGUCAUGGAGGAGGGGAACUGGAACUUCUGUGCCAUAUAGAAGUGGUGAAAGACAAUGAUUUCUAUCAUCCAUCUCUGAGAGGUGCUACAUUUCUUACCAUCCUUAGUUGAUCAAGGUCUUGGUAAGUUCCGUUCAUACAGCCAGAUGUGCCAUAUCGAGUAUUUGGAUUGAUAAUCAACCUUAUGGGUUUCAUCCUAUUCUAUGUAGCUUUUAUGCAGGGAUAUUUCCAGGAGAAAACACCUAAGUCACAUUAUCCAGCGAUUUUUGAAUGAUCUUGGAAAAGUCUCAACAUGUCAUUGUUCCUUAAGAGAUUAAACAUUGAAACUUAUUUUGUUACUUCAAUAGUGACAACCUUCAACCUUACACAUGUUAAGUCUUGAAAAUGUCUGUAGGAAAUUCAGACAUUACUUUUCAAUUCCAAUGGCUAUUUAAGCAGUCUAGACCAGGAAGGUUAGCAAAACCUUGUACAUGUAUUUUAAGGAGUAUAUUCAAGGAAUUGUGUGGUUAAUAUACUACAAAGUAUGAGAUCACCCUAAAAUUUGAUAGUCAUAUAUAAACUUAAAUGAAGUCAUUUAUACUCUGAGGUACAUGCAACUUUUUGUGUGGUUAAUGAGCACUGUAGACGACAUGUUAUCAUAUGGUUAUAUUUGGGAUUACACUUUCUUAGUAAAGUACAAAUUCUAGUACUUUAUUUAAUCCCGGAUGGGACUCAACUUAAAAAAAAGUACCAGAAAUUGUACUUUACUAAGUGUAAUCCCAAAUAUAACAUAUGUUGCAUUUGACCACUUUCUUAAUGGCAUUGUGUAAUCAUGUAGUGAAGCAACUGAUUCAAUAUUCUUUGAGUUGGAGUGAAAUGUAACAUUGUCAAAAACAGCCUAAACAAGGGUGCUGAAACACACCAGCACCAUGUUUGAUUCAAACACCCAAACAUGAUUAACACUUUAUUGUCUCUUUUGACAAAAUCAUUGUCAUGGAUAUAUAUAUAUACUGAACAUUUGCCAAGGACCUCAUAAGAUGACUGUUUUGGUCCUUGGCAUAUGUUGGCAUAUAUUUUAACAGACAUUAAAAAGUCUGUUUUGAGUGCUAGUAAAAUGUUCUUACCUUACUGUUACUUCAAUGUUAAGUUUGCUGUAACUUGAGAUUCUUUGUCUUCGAGGCUCAUUUACAAUUCACUUUUCAACUCUGCAGAGCACACAGUUGAACUGUCCAGUCCUUACAAAUAACAGUAUCAGAAUGGGAGUUGGAAUCCAGCACAGUGAACUCUCGAUGACUAUCACAUCCGGUAUCACUUGGAUUCUUCAGUUUCUUCCCCGAAAUCAUUCCAGUCCUGGGUCCAGAUGUUGAAGGAAGCUCCUUGGGAGGGGAUGGACUGUGCUCAAGGAACUGACUUUUUGGUAGCUGGAAACAUGGCGUAGCACAGGUCAUAGGCUGAGCCAUCACAUAAAUUGAUGGCAAAAGGAAACUUUACCAUUUCAAACACUAAUUUACAAUUGGAUUAUUGAAGCCAAGGACAAGCCGAAAGCUUGCAAGUGAACUCAGAAUGUUCCCCUCAACUGGACACAUCGAUUUGUAAAGCCCUCCUUGAGCUGCCUGGUUGGUGGUCAACAUGUUUUUUUUCCAAGGAAGAUUGACAAAGUUGAGUGCUGGGUGUGUGGGUGGAGCAAAGCUGGCCAAGAAGAGGAACUUAACUGGAUGACUUUAUAGUCUUCACUGACCCUAUCUAGGGUUUUCGUUUGAACUUUGGAUUUGUAUUACCUUGGACCUUGGAUGUCCUCAUGUAGAUCGUCAUUACCAUCUGAUUAAAUGUUUUUCCUUUA